rnacentral:rRNA from 1 species
GAUGAACGCUAGCUACAGGCUUAACACAUGCAAGUCGAGGGGAAACGACAUCGAAAGCUUGCUUUUGAUGGGCGUCGACCGGCGCACGGGUGAGUAACGCGUAUCCAACCUGCCCACCACUUGGGGAUAACCUUGCGAAAGUAAGACUAAUACCCAAUGAUAUCUCUAGAAGACAUCUGAAAGAGAUUAAAGAUUUAUCGGUGAUGGAUGGGGAUGCGUCUGAUUAGCUUGUUGGCGGGGUAACGGCCCACCAAGGCUACGAUCAGUAGGGGUUCUGAGAGGAAGGUCCCCCACAUUGGAACUGAGACACGGUCCAAACUCCUACGGGAGGCAGCAGUGAGGAAUAUUGGUCAAUGGACGAGAGUCUGAACCAGCCAAGUAGCGUGCAGGAUGACGGCCCUAUGGGUUGUAAACUGCUUUUAUAAGGGAAUAAAGUGAGCCUCGUGAGGCUUUUUGCAUGUACCUUAUGAAUAAGGACCGGCUAAUUCCGUGCCAGCCGCCGCCGUAA